GAUCCUGGCUCAGGACGAACGCUGGCGGCGCGCCUAACACAUGCAAGUCGAACGAGCGAGAGAGAGCUUGCUUUCUCAAGCGAGUGGCGAACGGGUGAGUAACGCGUGAGGAACCUGCCUCAAAGAGGGGACAACAGUUGGAAACGACUGCUAAUACCGCAUAAGCCCACGACCCGGCAUCGGGUAGAGGGAAAAGGAGCAAUACCGCUUUGAGAUGGCCUCGCGUCCCGAUUAGCUAGUUGGUGG
rnacentral:rRNA from 1 species